rnacentral:lncRNA from 1 species
CAAGUCUUCCAAGUUCAAACAUAGAGUAGCAUCAAGGGGUUUACAAUCUGGUUUUGAAAGCUGGUUUUGGAAAUUGGUUAUUUACAAGCUUAAAGGUAAGGCCAAGACUUUUGCUGAGAUGUAUCUGAGUGUGUAUCAGCUUGUUAAACUGAAAUUUGCCAAAGAAGAGCGAAAGCUUGAAGUCAUACAGGGCCAAACCUUUGACCCGGGAUCGAACUCGAGUCACAAGACAUGGGAAGUUUCUACAUUCGUUAGGAAAGGAGUAUUGAGAGAUUGAUGUUUUAAGUACAAAACUGAGAUGGAUAAGAAAUGGAAACUGUGUGGUGAUAAGAACAACAAGUGGUGAGGAAGCUGUCAAAAUCUCCCUGUUACAACAGUUGCUUCAAACCAUACAUGCUUCGAGCUGCUACAAUGGUGCUUGUCUAUGUGACUAAUAAUCUUGUGGAUGAAGCUACAUGGGAGUUCUUCUUUGAUUUUAUGUAAGGUUUCCCGAGCUUUAGACCUUGAGGUCAAGGUCUUUCAAACAGGGGAGAUUUGUUAUAGGAAAUCAAGGAAGCCACGUGGAAGCAGAUUAUUGAGAGAAGGUUGUGCAACUUGUGAUAACACGUGGUAGCAGCUGGUUGAAGACUCGUGUGACGCUCGUGUGAAGUUUGUUACGCAGAGGAAUCUUUUCUUCUUUAUAGUCACGCAUUUGUGCUCUGUUUUCAUUAUGCUAAAAUCAGAGAAUUGUUUUGGCAUCUUUUUCUUAGAAUUUCUUGUAUUGUGUGACAAUGGUGGACUCAUUGUUGGCUAGAGUUUCUUAUGAACUCAGCAGAUGAGAUUUGGAUCCGCGUUUCAUGAACGUUGAUUCAAUUUGUGUUUGAUUUUCAAGUUUUCGAUUGAAUAGUAGUUUC